AUGCUCCGCCUCCGAAGCUGCGUCCUCACCCACCUCCGUCUCUCCUCUACACCGCCUCCUCUCCGCCGCAGCGCCCGCUGCCCCCCGCAUUUCUCCAAACCCCAGCUUCGCCGUCGAGGACUACCUCGUCGCCACCUGCCCGCCAAGCUCCCCCACCUCAAGCCGCCCGCUAAUCCCGACGCCGUGCUCGCCUUUCUCGCCGGCCUCGGACUCUCCAGCGCCGACGCCGCCGCCCUCGUCGUCAGGGACCCCAAGCUCCUCUGCGCCAGAGUGGAAAAAACGCUGGCGCCCGUCGUCAUCGGGCUCACCGGCCUUGGCCUGUCGCGUUCUGAAAUCACGCGGCUCGCCUUGCUCGCCGACGACGCAUUCCGCAAAAAAGCCAUUGUCUCCAAGCUGCACUACUACAUGGGCGUCUUCGGAUCCACGGACACCUUCUUCCGGGUGAUGAAGUGCUGCAAUGUCCUCUCAUACAGCCUCGAGAGGGUGGUCAAGCCCAAUGUUGCAUACCUGCGAGAGUGUGGGUUACGAGAUUGCGAUAUUGCCAAAUUGUGCCUCCAAAGACCGAGGAUAAUCAUCACCAACCCGGAGCGUGUCCAGGAGAUGGUGGGAUGCGCUGAAAGCAUCGGUGUACCCCGUUACUCUGGGAUGUUCAGGCACGCGCUGAAUGCUGUUGCAUCUUUCAGCAAGGAGGAGAUCGCAGCCAGGGUGGAGCACUUGAAGAACACGUUCACGUGGACGGAUGCUGAGGUGAGCAUUGCUGUUUCUAAGGCCCCAUUGCUGCUGAAUAGGUCCAAGGAAUCGUUGCAGCGCAGGUCUGAGUUCCUCAUCUCCGAGGUGGGCUUGGAACCGUCGUACAUUGCUCAUCGACCCGUAAUGCUCGGUCUCAGCCUAGAAGGCCGGCUCAUGCCCAGGUACUAUGCUGUAAAGUUUCUCAAGGAAAAUGGAUUGCUCAGGCAUGGCCCGAGCUACGACACAAUUAUCAAGUUGACCGAGAAGGCAUUCAGGAAGCAGUUCAUAUGCCCUCAUGAGGAAGCUGCACCGCACCUCGCAGAAGACUAUGAUGUCGCUUGUAAGGGGGAAGUGCCGACUAAUUUCAGAUUCACAUAA
rnacentral:rRNA from 1 species